rnacentral:rRNA from 1 species
CAAUAGCGUAUAUUAAAGUUGUUGCGGUUAAAAGCUCGUAGUUGGAUUUCUGCUGAGGACGACCGGUCCGCCCUCCGGGUGAGCAUCUGGUUCGGCCUUGGCAUCUUCUUGGUGAACGUAUCUGCACUUGACUGUGUGGUGCGGUACCCAGGACUUUUACUUUGAGGAAAUUAGAGUGGUUACGGCAAGCUAUCGCUUUGAAUACAUUAGCAUGGAAUAAUAAUAUAGGGCGUAAGUUCUAUCUUGUUGGUUUCUAGAACAUACGCAAUGAUUAAUAGGGACAAUUGGGGGCAUUCGUAUUAACGCGUCAGAGGUGGAAUUCUUAGAUUGCGUUACGACGAACUACUGCGAAAGCAUUUGCCAAGGAUGUUUUCAUUGAUCAAGAACGAAAGUAUGGGGAUCGAAGAUGAUCAGAUACCAU